rnacentral:tRNA from 1 species
GCCUGGCUGGCUCAGUCAGUAGAGCAUGUGACUCUUAAUUUCAAGGUUGUGAGUUCAAGCCCCACAUUGGGUC